rnacentral:rRNA from 1 species
UACGUAGGUGGCAAGCGUUGUCCGGAUUUACUGGGCGUAAAGGAUGCGUAGGCGGAUGUUUAAGUGAGAUGUGAAAUACCCGAGCUCAACUUGGGUGCUGCAUUUCAAACUGGAUAUCUAGAGUGCAGGAGAGGAAAGCGGAAUUCCUAGUGUAGCGGUGAAAUGCGUAGAGAUUAGGAAGAACACCAGUGGCGAAGGCGGCUUUCUGGACUGUAACUGACACUGAGGCGCGAAGGCUAGGGGAGCGAACAGG